rnacentral:rRNA from 1 species
UUUGACCUCGGAUCAGGUAGGAAUACCCGCUGAACUUAAG